AACGAACCACCCAAACGUUAUUCGGAAUUACUGGGCUUAAAGGGUGCGUAGGCGGUGCGGAAAGUUGGGUGUGAAAUACCUCAGCUUAACUGAGGAACGGCGCUCAAAACUACCGUGCUUGAGGGAGAUAGAGGUGAGCGGAACUUAGGGUGGAGCGGUGAAAUGCGUUGAUAUCCUAAGGAACACCGGUGGCGAAAGCGGCUCACUGGAUCUCUUCUGACGCUGAGGCACGAAAGCUAGGGUAGCGAACGGG
rnacentral:rRNA from 1 species